rnacentral:rRNA from 1 species
UACGUAGGGUGCGAGCGUUGUCCGGAAUUAUUGGGCGUAAAGGGCUCGUAGGCGGUUUGUCGCGUCGGGAGUGAAAACCCAGGGCUUAACCCUGGGCUGGCUUCCGAUACGGGCAGACUAGAGGUAUGCAGGGGAGAACGGAAUUCCUGGUGUAGCGGUGAAAUGCGCAGAUAUCAGGGGGAACACCGGUGGCGAAGGCGGUUCUCUGGGCAUUACCUGACGCUGAGGAGCGAAAGUGUGGGGAGCGAACAGG